GAUGAACGCUGGCGGUCUGCUUAACACAUGCAAGUCGAACGAACUCUUCGGAGUGAGUGGCGGACGGGUGAGUAACGCGUGAGAAUCUGCCUGUGGGUCGGGGACAACCACUGGAAACGGUGGCUAAUACCGGAUGAGCCGAGAGGUAAAACUUUUUAAGGCCUAUGGAGGAGCUCGCGGCUGAUUAGCUAGUUGGUGGGGUAAGGGCCUACCAAGGCAUUGAUCAGUAGCUGGUCUGAGAGGAUGAUCAGCCACACUGGGACUGAGACACGGCCCAGACUCCUACGGGAGGCAGCAGUGGGAAUUUUCCGCAAUGGGGGCAACCCUGACGGAGCAACGCCGCGUGAGGGAAGAAGGUUUUUGGAUCGUAAACCCCUUUUGUCAAGGAAGAAGCUCUGACGGUACUUGACGAAUAAGCCUCGGCUAACUCCGUGCCAGCCGCCGCGGUAAU
rnacentral:rRNA from 1 species